UAAAAUUUAAUAACGUAAACUAACUAGAAAAAUUGUUGAUGAAAUAUUGCAACGUUGGUCCUUAAUCUGUUAAUCUUACAAGAUCAGUUUAUAUUUGUUGAUGUUGGAAAGAACAGAGAUCUUCUGGAAGUCAGCGGUAUGCAGAACGACGAUCGUCGCGACGCGCACGUGACGUCAUUCACCCUCUCCUUGACCAACCACUACGAACGACGAAAUCCCCAACUGCGUCUCCACAAAGAGUGACGUCACGUCUACAGGCUUUUCUCGUUCUCUACGAGACUACGAGAGCUCUUUCAAGAAGCCGCGCGCGUCGCUUCUGCCUUCCUCCUUCUGCUUGGUCGGCGAAUCUAUGCCACUUGAAGCUGUUAACCAAAAAGCACAAAGUCAUGCUACAUGAAAAGGUCUGCACUCUUAACGCUGUUAUUCCAUCCUGCGUUUUUACCAGGGGUUUAUAUCAGCUUGGAAAUCUGUUUCUCGUCGGCCAAGAACAAUAAUAUCAUUCACAAUGGCCGAUUUACCUAGGUCCUCUGCCAACAGACACGUCCGUCUGAUACGUACAACGAGAAACCAUGAAUUAUCGGGCAAAGAACAUCGAGACGAUUAACCACACGUAGUUCGUGGAUGUACGGUUAAAUACCCUUACUGAUUGCCAUUAAUUAAUUCCGGCUUUACAGCCUCCGACCUUCUUCCGUCUUAGCACGCCCUUAAUACGUGCACUCAUAGUCGUGACUUCCGUCAUUAAUAAUCUGGCGAACAAGCGGAACCGUAGCAGUCUCGAAAAUUGCUCUUUAAUAUAAAAUGCUUGCGGAAAGUCAGCCAAAGAGUAACCCAAGGGAGUUUGGAGGAUAGGGCUCGAAGCCGGUAUAAUUGUAAAUUCGAUGGCAAGUUCACCGACCAUUUCCUAGCAGCCUUGGUGGACUUAGGACGAUUCUCGAAACCUCCCAGGGCAAUGAGGAUUAAGGAAAGAUCCCGAUCGCGAAUAUAAACGCAAUGGGCUUGUGGAACUUCCCUAUCGUUCGCCUGUUCCACCGAGAGUCCUGCUAAGUUUGUCCCAAUCCCUUAGGUAAUUAGUAGUCUAGAUACGCCUGUUUGACCUCACCGACGAACCAAUUUCGGCUUACUUAAGCAAGUACUCUCACGAGCUUUCAUAGCGAUCUACCAUGGUACGAAAAUCUCGGCCCUUCAUAUACCUAUUCGACGAUAACAGAUUCAAAAAUUCUAUUAACCAGAUAUAUAUCGAACGAGAGAAGAUCAUAAAUCGCUAGAAUAAUGCUUAGUGUGCCCCAUCUACGGGACAACAAUCUUGAUGUUUCGUAUAUUAGACGAUAACAGAUUAGAAAAUUCUAUUAAAUGUGUAUCGAAGCAUCAUAAUCUCCUAGACUAAUGUUUGGCAUUCUAUGAAUUUGAUGUUCCGUACCAACGAUUUCUAUGAGCCAGUUUGAUAUCUCACCACAGACAUUCUAAAACAAAAAUAGAUAAUCCGCGGACGUGAUCGAACGGGAACCAUCGAUCAUGCGAUAUUCCACACUCGAUUGAACAGCGUAGCAACACUGUGUAGCCUUCCUCGAACACGAUAGUCUAUAUUGGCCAUAAAGCAUUCGCGUGUGACGUUAAUUUAAGUUAAUACUUUGAAUUCCGUUGGGAUUUUUGGACGGAGCCGCGGAUUCAACGGAUGCAAAAAUGAUCGACACGUUUUAUCCCAAUGAAUCUCCUGAUGUGACACAUUAAAAUGUUGUAAAAACGGGAAAAGGCACGCCGUGUGGCGUCGCGUUGAAAUUAUCGAACGAUUUCGCGAGAAUUACGGUAGAAACUUUAUAUCGCGUGAGAAUAAUCGGACCACGUGGACGGUUUAAUGAAACGUUCUAUCGAGCCCUGUAACUUUAACUUGCUCUUAACUCGCCAGUUGGAGAUUAGUCUUUUCGUCGCCUUGUGAAAUCUAAUUUUUUUUUUAUAGAACUUUCAUUUUAACGUGCAUUCAGCGUUAUCUCCGAGUGGCAAAGGGUAAUCUGUACAGCUAAACAUGAUUUUAUCGUCUUUGGCAUAAAUUAAAUUUUUCAUUCGUUUUCUCUUUUUUUUUACAAGCUGAAUAUAGCAUGUAUAUUCAUCUUUAAAUAUAUAUUAAAAAUUCAUUGUCUACACGUCAAUAUUAUUUAUCCUAUCAUUAUUUUUUCAGAUAAAUAAAAAAUAACGAAUUAAAUAUUCUUGGAAAUGGAUAGAUAAUUCAUGGACUAUUUAUCUCUUUUCUUUAAAAGCUUUAUUCAAAUAUCGUUCGGAAUAAUUUUUAAAUGUACAUAUGUAGAUAAUUUAAUAUUUAUAAGCCAAUACAAGCUAUUAAUAUUAAUCUUCUUUCAGAACUUCCCUUUUUAAAAAUUCUGUUUUAAAAGGAUCAAUAUUUCGUAAUAAGUUUAAUAUAAUCAAGUUACCUUCUACGUGGAAUCAUACAGAACUUUGAAAAUGCGAAUGCGUAAAGCCAUUAAAAAGAGGAUUGAAACUUGUUUAAAAUGAAAGGCGCAGAUACCAUAUUUCCAGCAAAUUAAAUCACAGGCAACUUUCAAUACGAGAUAUGAACAAAGGAUAUCGUUUUAUAGAUAACGAUUCUUAUAUCUUUAUCAUAACAAUAUUGAAACCUCUGAAUUUCUCACGAGAAGAAUUUAUUCAUUUUUUCUUUUUUUUUUUUUUCACAUAGGAAAUCAGAAAUUUCCAACUCGCAGUUUAACUGAACCUUAUGCAGUAAUUUCUGUGAGAAGAAAUCUACCAAAAACGUUCAUAAGGAAUUGAAACAUCCCGGGGCACAUUAUUUGAGGAAGCUGUCGCCAUUGUAGCUAAAGUAGAAGGAGAGACGAGAAACAGUUCACCAGUUUCGUAUGUGACAAGGAAUCUAGGGAAUGCAAGGACAUGCUGGUACGUUUCUCAACGGGAACAGUAUUCCCUCGAUUUUCAGACUGAACGUACUUUGAGAAGAAAAGGUAAGAUAUGCCUUGACACACUUUAACGUAACCAUUUCUGUGGCGAGAACAGACCGUACCGGAAGCCCCCUUAGGGAACUCCCUUGCAAGAUGCAGGGAGUCCAAGUUUGCCAACGUUACUUGCUACUUCCGGUAAGGAAGAACGCGCCUGGACUAUGGAACUGCGAGCUUGAAGGCAAACCGUCGGGCGGGGCUACAUUGAGAAACGUAUUUGUAAACAUACAUCCUACCCAUGAGGCUCGAGCAGCCCGUGUCGCAGUAAAUCCCGGUACAUUAAUAUUAAUGCGUCUUCGGCAUGUACAACACACUCGUGCCUUCUACUCAGCUGGUUCUCCACAUCGCAGAAAGCAUGAGAGUUCAACAGAGUUUACAGCACCAACCGUGUACGGAACCUGAACCUCUUCACAAUAUCUGCGUUCCGUCUGUCUCGCUUUCAUCUCGCAGUCUCGGGUGUUCCUUACGCUUCUCACUCCGAGAAAAUCAGCUUAGUUUUUUACUCAUGUUUGUCACGCAGGUUCUUCGCGGUUUCAUUCAGAAGUGUUUUGGAAUUUUUGUGUCUUUGAAGCGAGUAAUAGAAGAAAGGGGGAAAUGAUAUGCACGUGUAAUUAAUUCUUUAGAUUCGUGGUAGUUUUGAAGUCUUUGAUGAAUCUUUUAGUCCCUUUUGUUUGUAACAUAGAUGAAACGUGCUCUAUUUCGCUAUAUUUUAUUUCUGUACUUUAGAUUAGGAUCCAUUUCAACCUGUUGAAAUUACACAUUUGAAAAAAAUUUCAAAAGAAUAUUUGCAGCAUUCAUGUUUUAUGAAUAUACUUCAUCUUUUCAGUAGUUUUAAAGAAUAUCAAAAUCUUGCUUCGGAGAGACAAACUUAGCUUUUUAAAAAUUUAACUGGUUAGAAAUAUGUCUGAAAAUAUACGAUCAACGCAGAAAUGUGUAAUAGAAAUACAUACGAAAAGAAACGAUCAACAUUGGUCAUUAAUGACAAAUGUUCCCUUUCUGCCAUUAUGUUGGCACAUUACAAGAGAGUUUGAUGAAAAGACCGGGGCCUUUGUUGAAUCAAGGAAGAGUGAAAGGUGACGUGCGAUAAUAGAAUCCUGUGGAAUAGUAAAAAUACCGCAUUUGCGUCAGUUAGGAAAGUAGAACAAUUAUACAGGUUGGAUGACCGAGUGAAAAGAAAUUGUAGUAGCAGAAUUAUUGGAAAUAAAAGAAUCUUUAUUUGAAUUUAUCAACAUUUCUUAUAAAAUUCCCAAUUUUCAAUACUCAAAUAUUUCAUCUCAAUCUUCCUGGAAAUAAAUUUAAAUGCU